UCUUACCUGACUUCCUUUCUCUUCUGAUGAUAUUUGCGCAAAGGGAAACCCGUAAAAUAGGCAGCUGCUUCAAGAAUACAUAUUUUUUAAGCUAAAAGAUGUUUAAAUCAUUUUCUGAAAGAAAUAUCUAGCAAUGAUAAGAGAAAGUAAAUACCGACAAAGGAUAAAACAGAACACAAAAAAUUUAAUUAUGUAGCAGUAUUGAAGACUUGGCAAAAACUUGAUUGCUAGAAAUUAAUAAGUUGUAAUUAAUUAGAAUCCUGUCAAGCAAGUACCCAAAUAAGUAUACACAGUAAACCUAAGGCUUUCAGUUCUUAGGUUAAUUUCUGAGGUUCCAAGAUACAAUCAGAAUAAAAGAAGCUAACCAAGUCUAAACCCUAAUCAAGUAUAAUAGUGAACAUAAAGAAGUAAAAACUAAAAUUACAUACCAUAUGUUUCUGUAAGAUAAGAACUGGGAUUAAUUCUAGAAAUUGACCGACCAGCAGAUGAAAUUUGCGUCGUUGAAGCAUAGAUUGAGGAAGUUAAGCAUAUAUUGAGGAAGUUGAGGAAAUUACAUACCUCAAAACGCUCAAAAUGAGGAAACUCGAUUUAUCAUAUUAUUUAUCAUGUUCUGCUGAGGAAGUAAAGGAAGUUAAGC
rnacentral:lncRNA from 1 species